ACUCCAUGUUGAUGACGAAGAGCCCGUGCCUGGCCCUCCUUCCUGUGAUGGUCUCCAGCUGGGCCAGCAUCUGCAUGGGGAGCUCCUCCAGCUGAACCCCGACUUACACAGGAGACAGAUUCCAGAAAACUCUGAGUAACCUGAAAGGGAAGGCCACCGGCCCCUGGAGAGUGCUGUGCAGAGAUGAACAUGUGUGACUCAGGUUUUAAGAGGACCGCCCGGCCGCUGUGUUGAAAGCAGACCACGGGCAGAGGUGCAAGGCUGUAGGUGGUUCAGGAGACAACACGGUCCUGGCCUGAGGGAGACCCUUCACCCGCAUCGCUGCGGUUUACUACCCAUCCGCUCAGUGCCAAGUGCGGUCCACCAGUUACCUUUACUCCUGCCUGCAACGUAAAGGACGACAUCGGCCAGCACGCCGAACAUCUGGUAGAGCCCAGAAGCCUCGUUGAUGCGCCGGACGAUGGAGCUCGUCAGCUGUGAGAUGG